rnacentral:rRNA from 1 species
AAUAUGAAGGCCUGGCUUUCGCGGCCGGCUGUGGUAUUUUUUUCACCCAUGUCUUUUGCGCACUUGUUGUUUCCUGGGCGGGUUCGCCCGCCACCAGGACCAAACCAUAAACCUUUUUUUCUUAUGCAGUUUCCAUCAGCGUCAGUAAAAACAAUGUAAUUAUUACAACUUUCAACAACGGAUCUCUUGGUUCUGGCAUCGAUGAAGAACGCAGCGAAAUGCGAUACGUAGUGUGAAUUGCAGAAUUCAGUGAAUCAUCGAAUCUUUGAACGCACAUUGCGCCCUUUGGUAUUCCAAAGGGCAUGCCUGUUCGAGCGUCAUUUGUACCUUCAAGCUUUGCUUGGUGUUGGGCGUUUUUUUGUCUCCCUCUUUCUGGGAGACUCGCCUUAAAACAAUUGGCAACCGGCCUACUGGUUUCAGAGCGCAACACAUUUUUUGCGCUUUGUAUCAGGAGAAAAGGACGGUACUCCAUCAAGACUCUACAUUUUUCACUUUGACCUCGGAUC